rnacentral:piRNA from 1 species
GCCUAAACCUGGAGGAUGAAUCGACC